GCCGAUGUCUUAAGUUGUCAUCAAACUCGUUGAAGAAAAAUAGAAUUAAAUAAAUGAACGUUAUUCAAGAAAACUAAUAAAUCUUUACCCACAAGUUAUGUUAAAUAAUAAAAUAAAAUUAUCAUCCGACUCACUGUGAAAAAGAAAGGAUUGGAGUUCAAUGUGGUAUCUGGAUUAUGGAUUGUCUCUUGUGUUCGGGGCACUAACUAAUUUUCUGGAUUGUCUACAGGAUUCUUCUUACGGGAAAUUGAACUGUUUGUUGUUCGGAAAUAGGGUCUUGGAUGAUCUCGAAGAAGUAUCAGUAGUUCUCGGAAUAGGUUGUAGGAUGAUUCUCUUUUUAUUUUAAUAUCACAUACAUUGGAGUACACGCCAAAUUUCAACAAUGAGUAAAGUUA